rnacentral:rRNA from 1 species
CGGACGGGUGAGUAAUGUCUGGGAAACUGCCCGAUGGAGGGGGAUAACUACUGGAAACGGUAGCUAAUACCGCAUAACGUCGCAAGACCAAAGAGGGGGACCUUCGGGCCUCUUGCCAUCAGAUGAACCCAUAUGGGAUUAGCUAGUAGGUGAGGUAACGGCUUACCUAGGCGACGAUCCCUAGCUGGUCUGAGAGGAUGACCAGCCACACUGGAACUGAGACACGGUCCAG